AAGAUUAUACUUUCAAGGAUCAUUUCUAUAGUUUGUUACUAGAGAAGUUUCUCUGACUGUGUAGAGCACCCGGAGACAUGAGGAUGAGACAUAGUGUUCCCUCCUGAGUGUGAAGCCAGCUCUAGCUGUUGCUUCAGUGCAGCAGCCUCCAUCCAUUGAUGAUCAUUCUUCUCUCUUUCGGGAGGUUGAGAGAGAGGGAACGCAGUCUGAGAGGA